CUAACCUCUGUCCCCGUGCUCAACUGCUAUAAAUUUGUAGAGAGAGGUUGAGAUUAUACUGUACUGAUUUUACUUUCUUAUAAUGCUGUCUAACUUUCUCUACUCAUUUCUCUACUCAUCCGCAGCAAAAUUGACUCUGGUAACCGCCUGCUGAUCUCCAAAGCUUUACCCAGUCACAGGGAUAACUCUUCAGUACCUGAAACUAUAAUUGUUUACUUUUUUAACUCAUAAGAUCUUCCAUCUGGUCAGAAAUGUAAAGGCAGUGCAUUAUAAAUCUAUUACAUUCGCAUCGGUAAAAUUAGGUGUUCUUUCCAAAUGCAUUCUCUCUAGAGGGUUGCUCUGCAGAGUUCCUCAGAUGAGCACAAUAAUAUUCUGGAUCUUUUCCAUCAAACUAUGACUGGCUUCAGUGUGAAGAGUAUUGAGAGGGUGCAGAAUCGGAUCCUGUGGGAGGUCUUUUCGUGGCAAGGAGAUGUAAUGAGAAAGACAAACACAGGAAAGGAGAAUAAGAAGCAGCUCUUCCAUGGAACAGACUCUAAACACGUGGACGCUAUAUGCCUGCAGAACAUAGACUGGAGGAUUGGUGGAACACAAGGAACGCUGUAUGGGCAAGAUUAAAUAUCCACACAAUUGUGAGACAAUAUAAUAACCUUACUGUGAAUGAUUGGAGAAUGGAACGUUUCCCCUUUGUAAGCUAAUUCAUGGUUUUAUU